ACCAAAGCGGAGGAGAAUGAGCGGCUGGGUGAGGGCUCUGCCUGCUGAUCCUGCCUCUGGACAGGCUGCGUUACUCCUCAGGGAAAAAUGAGCGCCUGGCUCUGUCCUCUGCUGUGGAGCUUCACCGUGGUGUGUUUAACAGGUAUUGCUUCAGGCCAGACAACCAGCACUGAGGUCCCAGUUACAUCAACCCCAGCACCUCCCAGUGCAACCAGCACUGAGGUUCCCAUUGCAUCCACCCCAGCACCUCCCAGUGCAACCAGCACUGAGGUUCCCAUUGCAUCCACCCCAGCACCUCCCAGUGCAACCACUGCUACGGCCUCUUCUCCCCCAACUGCUCCUGCAACACUCUCAGCUGGACUGACACCAACCACUGCAAACCCUGCUGCAUCCACAGUAGCUCCAUCUGCUGAUCCAAGCACAAACACCCCUGCCCAGACUCUGCCCCCCACCAUGGGGACUGUCCCCACCUCUGGCAGCAGUGCCACCUCUCAGGCAUCUUCAGCAGUGACGGCCACAUCCAGCAGUGCCCCAGUGUCCCCUCCAGGAGUGACCACAUCCCCUGGGCUCCCGUCCUCAGCUCCGCUCCCCAGCACCCCCCAGCCCUCCAACUGCAGCAGAGUGAAUGUGACAGCCUGUGCCCCCUGCCCCCCAGGGACUGUCCCCACCCAAGGCACCUUGAGCUGUUCGUGCUGCGCGGGGGGCUCGUGCAUUGGUCCCAGUGCCUGCAGCCCCUGCCCACCUGGCCACUACCAGCCCCAAAGUGGGCAACCAUCCUGCCUGCCCUGCCCACAGGGGUAUUACACCAGCUUCCCAAGGAGCACUGUGUGUCUUCCCUGCCCACCAGGACAUUUUGCUAAUGAGUCUGGGGCUGCAGCCUGCAGAGCCUGUGAGCGAGGCUAUUUUAGCUCCAAGCAAAAUGCAGCUUUUUGUCUGCCUUGCCAGCCAGGAUCAUUUUGCAACACCACCAGCUGCUCGGCCUGUCUGUCCUGCCCCGGCGGGCAGGAGGCUCCUCGGGAGGCGUCGGAGGGGUGCGAGUCCUGCCCGCCAGGUACAUUCAAAGGCCCCAGGGACAACAGAUGCAAGACCUGCAGGACAGGAGAGUACCAGCUACAGAGGGGCAAGGAGAGCUGUGAGCUGUGCCCAGAAAACCACUACUGCCCUAGCCCAGAUGUGAAGCCAGUGAAGUGCCCUCCCGAUGCCUUCUGCCCCAGGGGCAGCGUGGAGCCCUCCUACUGCAUGGAACUCUUCCUGUACAAGGCAGGGGAGUCCUGCCAGCUGACCCCUGCCACCGUCAUUGUCCUGGCCACCUUCUCAGCAGGUGGAAUCUUUGUUGUCUUUCUAAUAAUUCUGAGAAGCCGACAAGAACAUGGCACGAAAUCCUUGAAGUCGCUGUUGCUGCCCCGGGGCUCAGGACACGCCACCUACGGGGGCACGGAGCACACAGAGCCAGUCUAUGCUGGCUGGUAGCACAGGCCAUGGCCAGCAGCCUCCCUUUCCCCUGGGGCAACACAGAUGUAGCUCUGGGCAAGGUGUUUAACCAUGAGCAACUUAUUUCUGUAUAGCUAAACUCAGGUGGGGAAUAAAAUCCAGUCUGUGAGUUGUGGCUGCUUGUGCAAACCAACCCAGCUCCCUGCUCUGCUGCACUGGGCUGAUGGGAGAAGUCUUCCCCUUCCAGUUCUUGGCUUCUUUCACAAGUAAAUACUUUUCUCCUUUAUUCAGGGGGGAAAAACCCUCCAAAAAGCAAUCAGUCCUAUCUGUUUCUCUAUUUUAAUAGUCAGCUCUACAGAGUGAGAGUGACUGCUCCAGUUAUUGAGGUCCCUCUGAUACAACACUCACUUCCACUCAAACUAACAAACUAACAUGAAUAUACCUCCUUUUAAUAAUAUGCCAUUUUUUAUUUUGUUCCCCAGUCUCAGAGUUGUAGCAUAAGCACAAGUCAAGGGAAGGGAUCCUAAAGCUCUCCCCUUCCUUUCAGUUGUGGGCAAACAUGUGCAACUAAAGGAAUGGUUGAUUCCUGGACAAAUGUCCCUUUUGUUUCCUGCUGUCAGGUGGUGUUUCAGAGUGGAGCUACAAGGGAGCAGCAUGGUGCAGGCACAGAAGAUGCCUUGCACCUUUCUGCAUGCUGGGGAGAGGGGCUGUAGGAGACCCACUGCCUCAAUGCCUGGGCAAAGUUCUGUCCCUGAUCCUGGACACUGAUCCCUGAUGCUGGACACUGCACCCCCCAUCCAGGAGAGCAGCACGAGUUGUUUGUACCCAUUUGCUGUGGCACUCCAAGCCCUCUGCUGUGCACCCAGCCCAGUUUAACCAUCUGGUUAAACUAAUGGGAUUUGUAUUUUCCAGAGAUGAUUCCUGUGUGUGCCUGGUUGACUCUUGUUGUUUGCUCUAUGUCCCCUAUUAUAUUUUUCUCUGGGCAAUGCUUAGCCAGCAUUCCAGGCAGUCAAAAAUGCCCAUCACCUGUGCUGGAGCCAGUGUCAAUUGCUCCAUGAAACCAGUACCUGUGGCCUCUUAACCUUCCCACCUUCUUUUCCUUUUCCUCCUGCAGUGACAUUCCCACACAGGUGCUGUGUAAACCCAGCCAGCUGUGACCCUUUGUGUCAAUGCUGUGCUUCACCAGCUCUCAGUGGCCAGUAAAAACACAAUCUCUGUCACAAGAGCCACAAUUUUAAAUGACUCUGCACAGAGGUGGUAGCAGGUGUUGCUUCUCACUUAAUCUUGCAGCAGCAGAGAUGGCUGAAGGAACCCAGCUGGGGGGGGGGGGGGGGUUAAGUGGUUCCUGCUCAUUCUCCUCUCCCCAGGGAAGCUGUUGAAAGUGUUUAAAAGGAUUAAUAAAAUAAAUCAGUUCUCU
rnacentral:lncRNA from 1 species